GUCUAUAACCAUGCCACCCUGAAAGUUUCUGAUCUCAUCUGAUCUUGAUCUAAGCAGGGCUGGGCCUGGUUUGUACUUGGAUGGGAGAAAAUACAUCUUUAGUAGUGGGACACC
rnacentral:rRNA from 1 species